GCUUUUCUCGAAAGUGCUUUUGGUUGAUGCCGCUGCUAUUUCCGGUGCGGGGUGUGGGCAAAAGCACGUUAGUAAUGAGACUGUUUGAAACCCUAAAAGCAUCAAAUCCCAGCUUAAAGAUUCGGGGCUUCUACACUAGUGAGGUUAGAGAAAGAAGUGAGAGAGUAGGGUUCCAGGUUGUCAUAUUACAUCCCCCCUCUCCUCCUCCACCAUUUCCAGCCUUCAGGGUAUCCCUUUUCAUCCAAUCUUAACGUUUGUUCGUUGCUUUAUUUUUCAUAACUCCAUUUCGCAGUAAAAAAACACUUAAAACACCGUUUUGAAGAUGAAAAUCCAUAGACCUAACUGUUAUUGCACCGGACAUUACCAGUUGAUUGUCAAGCACUUUUUGUUUUUUCAUAGUUUGAUUCUUAAAGUGUUUUUCGUUAAUAUCAACAAUUUUCGUGGGUCUACAUAGCAUUCAACCCUAAAGCAUGUUUUUGUAUGUCAGCCCAUAGUCCUUGAGAUGGCCCACAGUAGGGAAGUAUAAAGUAGAUGUUGAAUCGUUUGAGUCAUUGGCACUGCCUGAAUUGCAGGUGGGAUGAUUUUUUUCAUCGCUUACUGAUCAAGUCUUGCCACCCUCUGCACAAUUUAGUUAAAUUUUAGGCCUUCACGUUUGCGGAACUUUGUGGAACUUUUUUCUUGUGAUGUGUAAUCAAGUAAGAGAAGAUGCUGAUGUAUUCAUCGAUGGUGAAGUUGGGAAGAUGGAGUUGUUCAGUUCAUCGUUCUUCUCUGCUGUUUUAAACAUUCUGGAAUCCACAGUCCUGUUUUUGGCCUCAGUUCCAUUUCUAAAAUUCGGACUCAAUAUACCUGCAGUUACAUUCUCCUCAAACAUUUCAUUAUUUCCCACUAUAAUCUUUUGAUAGCUUGCCUUGUUUCACAACUAUAUAUUUGAUAUAAUUUUGGUUUAUGUUCUAACAGUUUUAGAAUCACAUUGAUAUAUAUGAUUUUCGCAUACUGUAUAUUUUUUACUUAUUGCUCAUUGUAUGGAGUUGGAGUCGAUGACUGAACCAGAUGAGGAGUAUGGGCUCUGAUGAAGUUGCUGUAAGCUUCAUGUCGUCCUGUUUCUUGCACUGAAUUUGUACGUGACUAGGGUUUCUGAACUUCUGCAGUUGCAAGGUUGAAGAAUCAUUGGGGUGCAACAAUGUUUACGCUGUGCCAAAGUAACAGAGAUUUUGUAAAAGAAGAGAUGUACUCCCAGUUGGUAGCUUUAUAGAGUAAACAAUAGGUGUUGGACGAUCUCUGUGUCAUCCUCAAUUGUAAGACUUGAAGGAGCUCAAUUGUACUCAACCGGCUUCGGAUAGGCGUUUUCAAAAAUAAAUACUAAAUACUGUAUUUCUUCUUUCUGAAUUUCAGCAUGAUGUUCUUAUUUUGCAAACAUCUAAUAGAAGAUGGAACUCCAGGAGAAGUUAGACGUGAAUAAAGAGGCACAAACCGUGGUUUACAUA